CCUGCCUUUAGAGGCAUUGCAGGUGUGACUGCUGUGUCACAUAUGCGUCAGUAGGUGGCAGAGAGGAGAGAGGCUAUGUCUAUAUUAAGUGUUCUGAUCUAUGAACUUCUGAAUGUUUCUUAGCCUAACACU